rnacentral:tRNA from 1 species
GAGGGUAUAGCUCACUGGAAGGGAGUGUGCCUAUCAUGCAUGAGGUCCUGGGUUCAAUCUCCAGUACCCCCA